ACAUCCAGCGAACUUUCCAGAGAUGGAUUGGUGCCUUCGGGAACGCUGAGACAGGUGCUGCAUGGCUGUCGUCAGCUCGUGUUGUGAAAUGUUGGGUUAAGUCCCGCAACGAGCGCAACCCUUAUCCUUUGUUGCCAGCGAUUCGGUCGGGAACUCAAAGGAGACUGCCGGUGAUAAACCGGAGGAAGGUGGGGAUGACGUCAAGUCAUCAUGGCCCUUACGAGUAGGGCUACACACGUGCUACAAUGGCGCAUACAAAGAGAAGCGACCUCGCGAGAGCAAGCGGACCUCAUAAAGUGCGUCGUAGUCCGGAUCGGAGUCUGCAACUCGACUCCGUGAAGUCGGAAUCGCUAGUAAUCGUGGAUCAGAAUGCCACGGUGAAUAUGUUCCCGGGCCUUGUACACACCGCCCGUCACACCAUGGGAGUGGGUUGCAAAAGAAGUAGGUAGCUUAACCUUCGGGAGGGCGCUUACCACUUUGUGAUUCAUGACUGGGGUGAAGUCGUAACAAGGUAGGCGUAGCGAG
rnacentral:rRNA from 1 species